UAUAUUAGAUACAACAACAGUUCCCUUGUUUCUAUACCUACUAUACAUAUCAAGAAUCCUAAACUAGAGAAGUUACAAUUUUCUCCAAAGAUAUCUAUACAGCACCUACAAGAAACUGAACCAGUGUACAUAGCUGUGUAUUUUCAGCUCCAAAGCAGAUAGAGAUGGAUGUUGCAUCUUCCAGUUAUAUUGUGCAUGGUGUAGUCAAGAUUUUCGUUGCUGGAAGUUGAACUUGUGUAUGGUCUCAUGCAGUAGGGCCAAUGCUGCAAACUUCCUAAGCAGCUGACUGUUUUUUGCAUUGCUUUAGGCGCGCCUAGAGCAUAGAGCAUAUGUAGUAAGCCACGAAAAACAUGGACUCCUUGAGAAGUGUCAGCGCAAGAACAAAAUAAAGCUCUCAUGUUUCAUCGGAAUAGAUGUCGCACCAAUCAUCCUCGCAUAAAAGCCUCAUAUGCUUGUCUCAGAGCAAGAACACAGCAUUUUGAAGAAAGGGAUUUGUUGUUUCAAUGCUAUUGGUUCUCAGUUAAAGAAGUAGGGUGACUCGAGAACUUCCCGCAAAUCAAAAUCACCUCUUUUUGGUAGAGGGGGAAAUGUCAAUGCUGGAUAUGAUUCCUGGAAGCUUUCAAGCAAAUCUUCAAGAAUAGGCAUACUGUACAGCUCCACAAACUUCUCCCUGAGUAUCCUGUUCAUCUGGUCGACAUCGCAAGCAUGAGUCCAGAAGGAAUCAUGUACCCCUGCAAAAUGUAGUCCAGCAUCCCUGCAAGCAACAGCGGUCAUCAUCAUAUGUGAACCAUCCAGUGAGUGCACAAAAUUUGGAGGAAAAGCAGUUCUCUGCUUUCGGACCUCAACUGCAUCACCCUCACGCUGCAAAGCCAAAACUUGAAGAGAAGUUCUUAUAACAUGCCGCUGAGUUUUAAAGUAAGGCUGCACAACAGGGAGCCCCAGA
rnacentral:misc_RNA from 1 species